GACGAACGCUGGCGGCGUGCUUAACACAUGCAAGUCGAGCGGUAAGGCCCUUUCGGGGGUACGACGAGCGGCGAACGGGUGAGUAACACGUGGGUGACCUGCCCUCAGCUCUGGGAUAAGCCCGGGAAACCUAGGGUCUAAUACCGGAUAUGACUUCAUGACGCAUGUUGUGGAGUGGAAAGCCUUGUGCGGCUGAGGAUGGGCCCGCGGCCUAUCAGCUUGUUGGUGGGGUGAGGCCUACCAAGGCGACGACGGGUAGCCGGCCUGAGAGGGCGACCGGCCACACUGGGACUGAGACACGGCCCAGACUCCUACGGGAGGCAGCAGUGGGGAAUCUUGCGCAAUGGGCGAAAGCCUGACGCAGCGACGCCGCGUGAGGGAUGACGGCCU
rnacentral:rRNA from 1 species